ensembl:snRNA U1 U1 spliceosomal RNA
AUACUUACCUGGCAGGCGAGAUACCGUGAUCAUGAAGGUGAUUUUCCCAGGGCGAGGCUUAUCCAUUGCACUCCAGAUGUGCUGACCCCUGCGAUUUCCCCAAAUGUGGGAAACUCGACUGCAUAAUUUGUGGUAGUGGAGGACUGCGUUCAUGCUUUCCUCUG